CAUCCGAACGAUUUAUAUCUUCCAGCAUCCGUGACGCAAGUGAAAAAAAGGCAACGUGCACAACCACUUAAAACUUUUUUCUCCAAUAGGCCCAGCAUCCUCUGGUAGACACGAGUAUCGCAUAACGCAGAAGUGGGCAUUAUCAUUUACUUCCUGUCUGGUCGGACAAUAGCGGCCCUCAGAGGACGUAAGUCCAGCGUCCUCAAUGAGACACCUGCGUUUACUUUGAUAUACUGAUAAGAAAAUGAUAAAUAAUAAGACGGCAUUAUAACCCCUUAUCACCGUAGCGUUCAUUCCGAUAAGGCCCAUUAUACGAAAAAGUUACUCGAAAGCCAGCAUAUCAUCCAGUGUCUACAAGAUUGUAGAAGCGGUUAAUCAGAACUCGUGGGACAUUCUAUGGAUUGUAAGAAAAAGAAGAGCAGACGACGCUCUUCACCGUGAGUUAGUACAGUUGCCAUGUGAACCUAUAGAAGGCUACUCGCGCUUGGACUUUUCAAAUCUGCUUCUUCCCAAGUAAAAACACAGAGUUUCGCCCGAAGUUCCUGUUCUACUGGCACUGGUGAAGAUCCGAAGUCAACGCGGAUUGACAUAAUGUGGAGGUAAGUCGAGGACAAUCGCCCUAACCUCUUUUGGGACGAGACAACAACGCACCCGUGUCGUGCCUGAGCCACACUGACAUCACUACUUGGCGCGUUCUUCUUCUAUGCAAGCCGGCAGCCGCGUUCGAUACUCGUUUGCUAUGGUGUCUUCGCGGUAACUUCCACUGACUGUACGAGCUUCGUCGGCAACGUAGCGGCGCGUGUUUCGAGAGGGGAUGACGACGAUGACGUCGCCGAGACGUCAGUUAAAAUACCCGAGUCUGUCUGAUGGCUAUUGCUCUCGAACAAACUGAAUAUUUGUAUUUAUGCUAAAGUAUUGUUUCCUGUACCUCGAUAUUUACAGAUACGUCUCAUCUAUUACUUGUUGUUCCUGAGCACUAAUAAUUUUACAUUAGCCUGGAAGUUUAUCGACAACGGGGAUGUGCGGUGUUGUGACUCUGAAUUAUUGCGUAGAGAAAUGUCACGGUUUCUAUAAGUGCGAAAACGUGAAGAUAAUGAGUGAAGAAAAGAAAAGAAAUAUACGAACAAGAUUCAAGAACAUCGAGGAGCCGUUCGAAUAAAAAUUCUCGACUUACCGAUAAUCGGUAACUCGGACUCACCAAGACGCACGGGUUUUUCGUAAUAUUCUCGACAGGCCGACUGGCAGCGACAGUCUACGCAGUGCAUCCUCGGGAUACGCGCCACCAGCGCCAACGCCAUCCAGUCUCAGCCAUUCCAUCAUUACAACGACACUUUUCUCCCCGAUGGAUUUUUUCGACAACGACGGUUCGCUUUUCGUCAAAUUUGAACUGCCAUUAGUGCCAUGUAUCACGUCUGACUCGAUUACUUCACGAGGGUCGACAGUGCUACCGGUGUUCAAGGAACAAAAAUGAACUCACCCAUUAAGGAUAGAGUCAGAAUCCAUGGAGUUGGAUGGUCCGGACACGUGAACCUUGGGAAGCCCAAAGCUGUCGAUUUGAUUUUGGGACUGACCCUGCUGAUGAUGACCUUGGCCAUGAGUACUCCCAUGGUGACUAUGCGUCGUCGAGGAGUCAUCACUGUCGCUGCUUUGUAAAUGCUCCGACCCGACUCCGCCACGAGGUCUGAAACAAGGCAUGGAGACUACUGGACAUCCGAGCUGCAACAGACUCCGUGCCAGGAGUUCGGGCGCAGGUGCGGCAAUCGCAGGUGCGGAAUGCCUGGCUGGUCUCCCGGGCGAACCUGCUUCAGCACCAGCAGCGUAUGGCACAUUCAACAAAUUUUGAUGAUCCGUUGUGCGCGACACUCGCAACGAUCCGCCGCGACGCAGCUGCGUCCCCUGUUCUGCUUCUGAAACGUGGUUGUAUAGGUUUUCAAAAUGCUGUCGCGUAUGGUCGCAAAGUAAAUAGAAAAAUAUUUACGAAUUCGUAGCUUAAUUUAUAUACGAAAAUUUGCGGUUAUGGUUUUAAUAUGUGAGAGGGGUUAAAUAAAUUAUUUACAAGGAGCUACGACAACGCGACAUGAAAACGCGCGUUUAAUUCGUUUGAAACGUUAUUACGUCAGUCGUGCAUUAAAAAUACGUGUCCGGCAGUAGAGACUGGCAAAGUUACGUGAGCCUGUUACGUUGUGGCCAUUAAGUAAACUCUCGUGUGUUUACCUUGUAUUUGAAAAAUUCGUAAAGCCAUACGAGAGAUGAGGAAUGUGUGUCUAUGGCGAUUCAAAAUAUGAAUAAACUCCCGCCAAAAUUCUUACGAAAUGGCGCUUCAAUUCAGUUUGCCACGGAAGUAGGUUGAACAAACGUCAGAUUUGCGUUGGUCUACUGACUGAAAAGUUCAAACUGCCUGUAGCUAAUAUCCACUCGAGAGACUUGGCAAGACUUCGCGCAUCCGACGUGGAAAAUGCGACAUUCGUAGAAAAUUCAUGACACACUUUCCAUCGGGACCAAUUCCGAUUUAUUUGAUGAUUCUUGCAUACUACGAAUAUACGGUAUAAAUGAGAUAUUUUAAGGAAAUGAAAAUUUGAUAUUCUCAAAAUUAAGUUGAAAUCAAAUAUUUUAUAUUUUACAUAAUAAUUAUCAACUGUUGAUACACGUUACUGUGUUUUACAUAUUUUUUAUUUCUCAUGUCAUUUAAUUACAAAGUCCCUGACUCUCGAUGACUUGUAAACGCAAUAACGUCCGCGGGAAUGACUGUAAUAAUUAUAGGAUACUGUCACGAGAAAUAUUAUCGUUAUAUAUAUCUUUUUUCUCUAUUCCGAUCGACUCUGAAUCGGCAGCACGUCGUUGGAAUUUUUAGUAUCGUUAGUAACGUUAAAAGCAACCAACUGUUGGAUUAAUUUAUUAAAAAAUUCACAAAAUCCACAAACCGUACCGACUACUAAUUUUAUGACUAUGUCGGUUUCAAAUUAUCCUCAUUAUAAGGCCUUUCGCCAAAGGUAAUAUCAUCUACCGGAAGUCAUAGAAAAUUUAUAUAUCCUCAUAUGAAACCGGCAAAAGUUCUCAAGACUAAUCGAAUAGAAAUCGUCCUGUCUGAAACGAUGACAGUAUAAUUUUUUUUUCAAGUAAACAGUUUACUAUUUGUUACAAUAUUCAGUAAAUCCAUAUGCGCGAUUGCCUUGAUAACACUGUAAUACAAUAUCCGCACGAAACACGCACUGCGAUAAUUUCCCCACAGAAUUGUCAAAUUUUUAACAUACCAUUGUAUCACCCACGUGGUCGAGUUUCAAGAUUGUCGGAAUCGAAAAAAAAAAAAAAUUUCUCAUUUUCAAUGACUGUCCUGGUGAACGACCGGUGUACCGUAAAAACGCGUUCUUUCUGUUUGCGCAAACGUAAGUCCAGUAAACGCGUUUAGAUAACGAUCAUUACGAGGUCAAAGUUCAUCAGCAGUCCUACCCACUGACCAUUGUCCACAUAACGUAAUUCAAGCUUCCUCAACGAUCUGUUUCUCAGGUUAUUGUCAGUUGUAAUCAUAAGUAUACUUGUUCCUUAUUAUCGUUUAAUGUAUACAUAACCUAUUCAUCGAUCUAUUCGGUCAAGUCCAUUGACUACUAGAAGCAAAGAGGCAACUGUGAAAAAAAUACAAACCUAUUUAAACGGGUUUCGAAAAGCACGGGAAAUUUUAAAUAACACCGUUAUCACUUUCUACUGCUCGUCGUUCACGUUCAUUUCCGCAUACUGUUAUCCGCAUACUGUACUUGACCAACCAAGUUGUUGGAUCAAGUUCAAAGCACGUUUAUACGUCACGUUCUCUUUGGCAGACCAAAGCCAGACGAGUGCGUUUAAUUUUAAGACUAUUUUUUUUUUGUUAUUUUCGAACAACCACGUCAAAUCGAUUAACGUCGUCUGCUCUUUGGCACUAGUGGUGUUUCAUGAAAGUUCACUAUUUUCAUGUAAAAGAUUAACGAUUUUCAGCCUCACAGUCGUAUUCUUGAGAGAUAUAAUUAUGUGCGCGUACGUACGUUGAAAAGUCAUCAUCCUUGCUUUCGACAACUGGAACAUCUUCACUGACGUUUCUAAUGCGGGUUCACAGCUGUUUUACGUCAACGAUCCAUUCGCGGUCAAAAACGUCGAUAGUCGGUGGAAAGGUGGAAUAUACUGUAUCCAUAUGUGUGUGUGUAUAUAUAUAUAUAUAUAUACACAUGUAGUUAUGUAAAUAUACGUGUAUUUUCAGGACUACCAAGUACCAUUACGAUCAAUGCUCCUUAUUACCUAUGUGUAUCAAUACUUUAUCUUUCACAUUAUACCAAGUACGUUAAAAAUGUCUGUGGAUAACAUAUUAUGCUGCAAAUAAAUGUGGAAAAUAAGCGUA